rnacentral:rRNA from 1 species
GACGAACGCUGGCGGCGUGCUUAACACAUGCAAGUCGAACGAUGAAGCCGGAGCUUGCUCUGGUGAAUUAGUGGCGAACGGGUGAGUAACACGUGAGUAACCUGCCCUUGACUCUGGGAUAACUGCGGGAAACUGUAGCUAAUACCGGAUACGACCCUCGGAGGCAUCUCCUGGGGGUGGAAAGAAUUUCGGUCAAGGAUGGACUCGCGGCCUAUCAGCUAGUUGGUGAGGUAAAGGCUCACCAAGGCGACGACGGGUAGCCGGCCUGAGAGGGUGACCGGCCACACUGGGACUGAGACACGGCCCAGACUCCUACGGGAGGCAGCAGUGGGGAAUAUUGCACAAUGGGCGCAAGACUGAUGCAGCAACGCCGCGUGAGGGAUGCCGGCCUUCGGGCUGUAAACCUCUUUUAGCAGGGAAGAAGCGAAAGUGACGGUACCUGCAGAAAAAGCACCGGCUAACUACGUGCCAGCCGCCGCCGCCG